GCAUAUUGAAAAACUAUCCAAAUAAGAAAAAUAAUUAGUAAAUCACAAACGACUACUCAAAAGAACACUUGAACCACAAGCAAAUACAACAGAGCUAUACACAGAGAACAAAUUAAGAAAAUUUUGGAAUAAAAUUUAGAGACUAAUUAGUUAACAGACUUGCACUGAGAGCAACAAAGACUACAAGGGCGGGGAGACAAAGGAGACAGUGGCGAGAUGCAGUAAGUCAGUGGCAAAGGCGAAGGAUGGUUAAGAGUCCAUCUAUGUAAUUGAGAGAGCAAAGGUAGACAAAGUAAUCACAAGUUAUCUCAGUUUACAAGAGCUUGGCAUAAGCAACCCCAGUGAGAGGGAGUGUGUGAUAAAGACUAGAGAGAGAGGCUGGUCCAUGAUAGAGGGAGGCAAGGAGGAAACGAGGGGCCGGUCAACUGGGGGCCACACUAGCACAAUCAUCUUUGACUAUGGUCCAUAAGUGACAAAGGAUCAAAAAGUGAGGAGUAAGCAAGGUGACAGCAGAUAUGAGAACAAAAGAGAUAAUUAGGGUGUAUAAUUUUAUUUGGUUAACUGAAAACCACCACAUUUCUAAGAUACAAUGUUAUAUAAUUUAUAUUUAGUUUAGUUCAAUUUGGUUUAUUCAAUUUUCUCAGUAUUAAGACCAAACCAAACUGAUAUAACCUAAUAUUCUAUAAAAUAGAACUGAGUUGAACUGAUCAACUACAAACCCAAAACAAAUUUGUCAGUUUAGCUUGGUUUUUUUUAUUUAAACCAAAUUAAGGACGCCCAUAAGUAGGGCAAAUAGCAUAGGUGUGAAAGGCGCGCCUAAGUAGGCAAAUAGCAUAAUUAUGAAAGGCGCACCUGAGGCAAGAGGUGCACUGGGCGGGAAGGAUUUAGCUCAAACCUGCAAAGGCAGGCGACCUCACUAAGACGCACCUAGAUGCAGCUAGGCAUGCCCCAGCAAGGUCAACUUCAUUGCAGAAAUUUA
rnacentral:misc_RNA from 1 species